CCAAUUCUCUCCCGAGCCCAGAUUUGUUCCUCUCUCUUCCACCGGCCAUAUCUCCCUCCACAGACCUCCGAUCGACUUGAUUCCAAAAGUAUUUUCAUUCGCCUUGAAGUCAGUUAAAACUUCCUAGAAGACAUCAAAGUGAUAAAAGAACCAUGGAAGGUGCUAGGAGGCCGAGAAGCUGCACAGCUCGAGCUGGAAUUCGCCCGAUGCUGCUCUUCCUUCACCGGCCGAUAUCUCUCUCAUCCAACCUCGAAUCGAGUUGAUUCCAAAAGGGAUUUUGCUGGGCCUGAGCUAUAUUACAACUUUGUAGAAGACAUCGAGGGGAAAUAACCAACGUGGUAGCCGCUACAAGUCGAAGAACACGGUGCAGUCGAGCUGGAAAUCACCUCCUUUCCCCACCGUCGUUCUCCCUCCUCCGGCCACCUUUUGCCGUGAUUCUUGAGAGGAUUCUGCACUUCUGAGGAUGUAGAUCAUUUCCCCUAAGGUGGAUUGCAUCGAUUUCAUCUGUGGAGAUCGAAUUGGAACGAAUUCAAAACUAGGGUUCUUCGGGUUUCAAACCUUAUAAGGUGAUUGACGGUCUCCCUUGGGUGAACGAUUUCGGUGUGUAUUGUGUUAAAUUGAAGACGCAGCGGGAAUAUCGAGCGGGUAAUCCUGCAGGUCAGGAGAAUCAGGGCGGUGAUCGAGCGGGUUAGAGUAUUUGUUAUAGUUUUACAGCAAUUGUAAUUGUGAGGUGAGUUAUGCUCAUUUGAGCCUUACAAUAUAAUUUGGUGAGAGUGUGCUGUAAUAAACAAACUUGAGGAUUUGAUUUAUUGUAAUAUUGAGAGGUGUGAAGUGUGGUUGUUUGUGAGAAAAAAAUUCAGGACGUUAAUUGUAAUUGUUAUUAUUCAUGUUUCGGAUUUGAAUUGAUUAUUCAAAAUUCGGGGCGUGACAAAGAUUAUUUAGUAAUUUAACGAAUCAUCCCAACAAAAUAAAUAGACAAUUACCACAUAUAUAUUGUAAUCCAAGAGAGAGAAUAUCUCCUU